rnacentral:rRNA from 1 species
GGAUCAUUACCGAGUUUACAACUCCCAAACCCCUGUGAACAUACCAAUUGUUGCCUCGGCGGAUCAGCCCGCUCCCGGUAAAACGGGACGGCCCGCCAGAGGACCCCUAAACUCUGUUUCUAUAUGUAACUUCUGAGUAAAACCAUAAAUAAAUCAAAACUUUCAACAACGGAUCUCUUGGUUCUGGCAUCGAUGAAGAACGCAGCAAAAUGCGAUAAGUAAUGUGAAUUGCAGAAUUCAGUGAAUCAUCGAAUCUUUGAACGCACAUUGCGCCCGCCAGUAUUCUGGCGGGCAUGCCUGUUCGAGCGUCAUUUCAACCCUCAAGCCCUCGGGUUUGGUGUUGGGGAUCGGCGAGCCCUUGCGGCAAGCCGGCCCCGAAAUCUAGUGGCGGUCUCGCUGCAGCUUCCAUUGCGUAGUANUAAAACCCUCGCAACUGGUACGCGGCGCGGCCAAGCCGUUAAACCCCCAACUUCUGAAUGUUGACCUCG